rnacentral:rRNA from 1 species
CUACGGGUGGCUCCAGUGAGGAAUAUUGCACAAUGGGGGGAACCCUGAUGCAGCAACGCCGCGUGGAGGAUGACGCAUUUCGGUGUGUAAACUCCUUUUAUAUGUCAAGAAAAUGACGGUAGCAUAUGAAUAAGCACCGGCUAACUCCGUGCCAGCAGCCGCGGUAUAGGGAGGGUGCAAGCGUUACUCGGAAUCACUGGGCGUAAAGGACGCGUAGGCGGGUUGGAAAGUCAGGUGUGAAAUCCUACAGCUUAACUGUAGAACUGCACUUGAAACUUCUAAUCUAGAGUAUGGGAGGGGGAGAUGGAAUUAGUGGUGUAGGGGUAAAAUCCGUAGAUAUCACUAGGAAUACCUAAAGCGAAGGCGAUCUCCUGGAACAUUACUGACGCUAAGGCGUGAAAGCGUGGGGAGCAAACAGGAUUAGAUACCCGCGUAGUC